UACGUAGGGUGCAAGCGUUAAUCGGAAUUACUGGGCGUAAAGCGUGCGCAGGCGGUUAUGCAGGACAGAGGUGAAAUCCCCGGGCUCAACCUGGGAACUGCCUUUGUGACUGCAUAGCUAGAGUGCGGCAGAGGGGGAUGGAAUUCCGCGUGUAGCAGUGAAAUGCGUAGAUAUGCGGAGGAACACCGAUGGCGAAGGCAAUCCCCUGGGCCUGCACUGACGCUCAUGCACGAAAGCGUGGGGAGCAAACAGG
rnacentral:rRNA from 1 species